UAGAGUUUGAUCCUGGCUCAGGACGAACGCUGGCGGCGCGCUUAACACAUGCAAGUCGAACGUGAAGCCCGGGCUUGCCCGGGUGGAAAGUGGCGAACGGGUGCGUAACACGUGAGCAACCUGCCCCGAAGACCGGGAUAACACCGGGAAACCGGUGCUAAUACCGGAUGCCCUCAUCAUGUCGCAUGGCGAGAUGAGGAAAUGGAUUCCGCUUCGGGAUGGGCUCGCGGCCUAUCAGCUUGUUGGUGGGGUAACGGCCUACCAAGGCGACGACGGGUAGCUGGUCUGAGAGGAUGUCCAGCCACACUGGGACUGAGACACGGCCCAGACUCCUACGGGAGGCAGCAGUGGGGAAUCUUGCGCAAUGGGCGAAAGCCUGACGCAGCGACGCCGCGUGCGGGAUGAAGGCCUUCGGGUUGUAAACCGCUUUCAGCAGGGACGAUAGUGACGGUACCUGCAGAAGAAGCCCCGGCCAACUACGUGCCAGCAGCCCCGGUCAA
rnacentral:rRNA from 1 species